AGGUAGGGUAUGGGGUUAUAUUAUAGUCUACAGGGCUAUGAGGUAGGGUAUGGGGUUAUAUUAUAGUCUACAGGGCUGUGAGGUAGGGUAUGGGGUUAUAUUAUAGGCUACAGGGCUAUGAGGUAGGGUAUGGGGUUAUAUUAUAGUCUACAGGGUUAUGAGGUAGGGUAUGGGGUUAUAUUAUAGUCUACAGGGCUAUGAGGUAGGGUAUGGGGUUAUAUUAUAGUCUACAGGGCUGUGAGGUAGGGUAUGGGGUUAUAUUAUAGUCUACAGGGUUAUGAGGUAGGGUAUGGGGUUAUAUUAUAGUCUACAGGGUUAUGAGGUAGGGUAUGGGGUUAUAUUAUAGUCUACAGGGUUAUGAGGUAGGGUAUGGGGUUAUAUUAUAGUCUACAGGGUAAUGAGGUAGGGUAUGGGGUUAUAUUAUAGUCUACAGGGCUAUGAGAUAGGGUAUGGGGUUAUAUUAUAGUCUACAGGGUUAUGAGGUAGGGUAUGGGGUUAUAUUAUAGUCUACAGGGUUAUGAGGUAGGGUAUGGGGUUAUAUUAUAGUCUACAGGGCUAUGAGGUAGGGUAUGGGGUUAUAUUAUAGUCUACAGGGCUAUGAGGUAGGGUAUGGGGUUAUAUUAUAGUCUACAGGGCUAUGGGGUAGGGUAUGGGGUUAUAUUAUAGUCUACAGGGUUGUGAGGUAGGGUAUGGGGUUAUAUUAUAGUCUACAGGGCUAUGAGGUAGGGUAUGGGGUUAUAUUAUAGGCUACAGGGCUAUGAGGUAGGGUAUGGGGUUAUAUUAUAGUCUACAGGGCUAUGAGUUAGGGUAUGGGGUUAUAUUAUAGUCUUCAGGGUUAUGAGGUAGGGUAUGGGGUUAUAUUAUAGUCUACAGGGUUAUGACGUAGGGUAUGGGGUUAUAUUAUAGUCUACAGGGCUAUGAGGUAGGGUAUGGGGUUAUAUUAUAGUCUACAGGGUUAUGAGGUAAGGUAUGGGGUUAUAUUAUAGUCUACAGGGCUGUGAGGUAGGGUAUGGGGUUAUAUUAUAGUCUAUGGGGUUAUGAGGUAGGGUAUGGGGUUAUAUUAUAGUCUACAGGGCUAUGAAGUAGGGUAUGGGGUUAUAUUAUAGUCUAUGGGGUUAUGAGGUAGGGUAUGGGGUUAUAUUAUAGUCUACAGGGCUAUGAGGUAGGGUAUGGGGUUAUAUUAUAGUCUACAGGGUUAUGAGGUAGGGUAUGGGGUUAUAUUAUAGGCUACAGGGUUAUGAGGUAGGGUAUGGGGUUAUAUUAUAGUCUACAGGGCUAUGAGGUAGGGUAUGGGGUUAUAUUAUAGUCUACAGGGUUAUGAGGUAGGGUAUGGGGUUAUAUUAUAGGCUACAGGGUUAUGAGGUAGGGUAUGGGGUUAUAUUAUAGUCUACAGGGUUAUGAGGUAGGGUAUGGGGUUAUAUUAUAGGCUACAGGGUUAUGAGGUAGGGUAUGGGAGAUUGACUGCACAUGGGCGUGAUUAUUGUCUUUGCGCUCUUUCACUUCCCUGAGAAAGAUGUGUAUCAGGUAAACUAGUUUCUUUGAAAAAUAAAAGUCCUUCUCGUAAAUUCGGCCAAGUAAAAGUGAC
rnacentral:lncRNA from 1 species